GCAGUCGAGCGGCAGCACAGAGGACUUGUUCCUUGGGUGGCGAGCGGCGGACGGGUGAGUAAUGCCUGGGAAAUUGCCCUGAUGUGGGGGAUAACCAUUGGAAACGAUGGCUAAUACCGCAUGAUGCCUACGGGCCAAAGAGGGGGACCUUCGGGCCUCUCGCGUCAGGAUAUGCCCAGGUGGGAUUAGCUAGUUGGUGAGGUAAUGGCUCACCAAGGCGACGAUCCCUAGCUGGUCUGAGAGGAUGAUCAGCCACACUGGAACUGAGACACGGUCCAGACUCCUACGGGAGGCAGCAGUGGGGAAUAUUGCACAAUGGGCGCAAGCCUGAUGCAGCCAUGCCGCGUGUAUGAAGAAGGCCUUCGGGUUGUAAAGUACUUUCAGUCGUGAGGAAGGUUGUAGUGUGAAUAGCACUAUGAUUUGACGUUAGCGACAGAAGAAGCACCGGCUAACUCCGUGCCAGCAGCCGCGGUAAUACGGAGGGUGCGAGCGUUAAUCGGAAUUACUGGGCGUAAAGCGCAUGCAGGUGGUUUGUUAAGUCAGAUGUGAAAGCCCUGGGCUCAACCUAGGAGUUGCAUUUG
rnacentral:rRNA from 1 species